AGAGUUUGAUCCUGGCUCAGGAUGAACGCUAGCGGCAGGCUUAAUACAUGCAAGUCAAGGGGGUAGCAAUACAACCGGCGCACGGGUGAGUAACGCGUACACAACAUACCAUAUACUGGAGUAUAGCUUUGGGAAACUGAAGGUAAUCCUCCAUAACAUUGCGAGAGGGCAUCUGAUUGCAAUUAAAGUUCCGACGGUAU
rnacentral:rRNA from 1 species